CACGUAGGCACCAAGCGUUGUCCGGAUUUAUUGGGCGUAAAGAGCUCGUAGGCGGUUCGAUAAGUCGGGUGUGAAAACUUUGGGCUCAACCCAAAGCGUGCAUUCGAUACUGUUGUGACUAGAGUUCGGUAGGGGAGUGGGGAAUUCCUAGUGUAGCGGUGAAAUGCGCAGAUAUUAGGAGGAACACCGGUGGCGAAGGCGCCACUCUGGGCCGAAACUGACGCUGAGGAGCGAAAGCGUGGGUAGCAAACAGGAUUAGAAACCCCGGUAGU
rnacentral:rRNA from 1 species